rnacentral:rRNA from 1 species
UACGUAGGUGGCAAGCGUUGUCCGGAUUUACUGGGCGUAAAGAGCGCGCAGGCGGUCGUUCAAGUCGCGUGUGAAAGCCCCCGGCUCAACUGGGGAGGGUCACGCGAUACUGAUCGACUCGAAGGCAGGAGAGGGAAGUGGAAUUCCCGGUGUAGUGGUGAAAUGCGUAGAUAUCGGGAGGAACACCAACGGCGAAGGCAGCUCGCUAGGACGGUACUGACGCUGAGACGCGAAAGCGUGGGGAGCGAACAGG